GGAGGGAUGCGAGAGUGGACUAAUCGGCCCGCUUGGAAAGCGGCGCGGUGCGAAAGCGCCACGAGGGUUCGAAUCCCUCUCCCUCCG
rnacentral:tRNA from 1 species